GAGGCAGGAAGUGCCUCAUUUUGCGCAGCCGCCCGCUCACUCCUCUCGUCUCUGCUCUUUACUUUCCCUAGCACACUGAGAAAAACAGCUCAAAUAGCUUAUUUGAUCAUGAUUUUGAGCGAUUUGAAGGCCGAUUCAGAAGAAGUAUUAGUUGAAGAAAAGAUAGAUCAAGGCAUGAUUUCAUCACUUUGUGGAGUCAUUUGAAGCUUAUGGAGUAGGAUUUGCCGUGCGAAGUGAACUACGAAGUUGAAGAUCAAGGUAAAAAAUAUCAUCUGAGUAGCAAACAAUGAGGAGAUGGUGUGAUUGAAAAAAUUGUGUUUCGAUCUUUGAUGUCCCUUUUGAGGUUGAUCUCCAUUGAUAUAUUACUGGUGAUAUGUUCAUGCUGACGGAUUUUUUUUGAACUAUUGUGGCGCUUAAUUUUAUUCGGAACAACAUCCAAAUUGAAGCUGAGGUAUAAAUGAGACUGUGUAAUUUUGUAUAUAUUUUUUAUAUUGAUUUACUAUUGUGAAUGAUGUUACUGCUGGUGCAAAUAUUUCUAGCAAAAAUACGGUUAUUUGUUUAGUCAUAUGAUAUUUAAAUGUUAUCAUCAUACUAUUAUGUUUAAGGUCCAACCAAAUGAUACUAAAAAAAGUCGACUGUUUUCUAAUGAAAAUAUGUUAUUAAAAUGUAUUCUCAUUUCAUUAGUUGUAAUAAACUAUUUUUAUUGGAUGAUAUGAAAAUGUUAUUAAAAUCAAAAUAUACUAAAAGUUUUAAUCGUAUCUUAUUAAAGUGUUAUGAUCGUAUUAUUAUGUUUAGAGUCGAACCGAGUGAUAUUACAAAAGCAAAAAAAAAUCAAAAUUUGGAAAAUGUUCAGAAUUCCAAAAUUCUGUUGCUAUUUUGAAAAAAUAUUUGGAACUUGAAAAAAGUUUCCCAUUUUUCCAAAAAUAAAUUACUGUUUUAUAAAAUUGUUUGAGAUUUCUAAAAUGUUUCCUAUUUUUUGAAAAGAAUUACUGUUUUGCAAAAUUGUUCGAGAUUUCUAAAGAAAAAUGGUAUUUUAAAAAUAUUCCAAAUUCAAAAAAUAAUCUUGGUUUAGUGAAUUUUUCACAAUUCAAAAUAAUGUUCGCGUAUAAAAGAUACACAUUUUCGAAAAAUAUUAUGAAUUGUCAUCAAAUGUUCAUAUUUUAAAAAAAAUCACAAAUUCAAAUAAUUUCCAUGUUUUUAUAAUAAAAUUUGGUGUUUUCUAAAAAUGUUUUUGAAUUUUUAAAUAUUGGUGUUUUUAAAAAAUGUUUGUGAAUUUUUAAAGAUGUUUCUGUUUCAAAUAUUGUUCGCAUUUUUUCUGAAAGUGUACAUGGUUUUCAAGAGCAUCUUUAGGAUUUUAAAUAUGGUUCAUGUUUUCUAAAAUAUUCAAAAACUUCAUACCUUAAAAUCUCCUCAAUUGAAAGGAAAAUUAGAUUGAAUAAUUCAUGGGUCUUCUCUGGCGUACGUUGACGUAACAAAACUCUUAAAUGCGAUCAAUGAAUGUAAAAAAAAUCACAGAUUGGUCACUUCAAACCUAGCGAAACCGAGAAGCUAAAUGUUUCUUUUUCACGUGCACACAGAGUUUUACUUGCACAUAUAAUUCUAAUUAGCUUUAAAUGCAUAUUAUUUUCCCCUGUUGCAACGCACGGGCAUAUGUGCUAGUUAUUUCAAAUGUAAAUAUGGAUAUAAAAAUGGUCUUCCCUUUUAUUAUAUUUAAAGUUUUAAUCAGCUAAUAAUAAAAUAUUCGGUUACUAAUUAUUUGAAAUGUAAAUAUAGAUUAAUGAUGGCGGCGUUGUUGCACCCAUCUAUUUUGACAAUAUAGUGAUAAUACGUUCCAUAAGUAUAAGGGAGUCCUUGAUCACCAAAUUGGAAGGUAAAGUCACUUUUAUCCGAGACAAAAUUUCGCAUUAUUCAUUAGGAAUUAACAAUCUAAAAUAAAUGGCAUCACUUGUCCAAUAGUCAACAUCCAUCAAUUCACCAUCAUAAAAUUAGACGUACAAAGGAACAAGAUACAACAUCAUUCAUCGACAUCACAUACUGAUAUGUGGACUUUACAACCAGUAGCAAUAUUUCCAUGGCAUGUGCUUCUACCUUGUAACGCUGUCCUCCUAAUCUGCACCUUUGGUUCCUUCCAUUACUUGUGCUUGUCAAAGAAAUGUGCCUUUUCCAACCUGGAUCUUUCGAUCAAAUGAUUUUUUUGUCGAAAAGGACCAGGUGCCCAACACAAUUGUCAAAAAGGACUACCUAUAGAUGAAAUUGACAAAAGAGACCCCCGGUCAUGGCGGCAAGCGCGACAGGCGACACGUGACACCUGCCGCUAAGGAUGGCAAUGGAUCGGGUUCGGCUCGGGUUGAACAAUAUCAUAUCCAUACCCAAAUCCAUGAAGACAUUAUGUGCCCAUCCACACAAAAAAUCCAUGGGCGAAAAAUUAUGUCCAUGUCCAAACCCGACGAAUAUCCAUCGGGUAUGGAUAACCAUCGGGUUGUCGCAACACAUAUACAUAAGAAGUAGCACAACAUUCACAUAAGCUCUCAAAUUCUCACAAAAUGACAAAGCACAAGUGCAUAACAUCAAAUAAGCUCUUAAAUUCUCACAAAAUGACAUAGGACAAGUGAACAUCACCAACAAAGCUCUCCGAUUCUCAUAAUGACAUAACAUCAAAUAAACCUAAGUACACAAUUCUCUGUCCUUGUAGAAUGACAUAGCAAUAACACAACAUCAUUUCUCGAUCUCGAUUUCUCAUAAAAUGGCAUAACACAAUGUCAAGCAAGCACAUGUACCACCAUAUGUAGAGAGGUAAAGUCUAGCGGCAUCUAGGUCUGCGGGAGGAGGAAGUCGAGGUGAUGGAGAUGACGCUUAAUUGCGAGUCAUUUACCGAGGAUAUAGAAGAAUGAGAAGAGGCACAAAAGUUACGAUGGGAACUGGGGAGGGAUCGCAUAGUUUCUUUUUUACUUUUUAUAAAGGAAAAAUACAUUGAAAGAUGGGAUAGUGGGGAUCAUCGAAUUUUGCCACGCAUGUCAUACUAUCGGGUCGGGUUCGGGUAUAUCCAUGGAUACAUAAUUAUAUCCAUGCCCUACCCAUGAUUAAUCGGGUCGGGUUUGGGUUCUGCCCAUGGACGUAAAAAUGUACUCAAACCCUACCCAUUCGGGUCAGGUAUCCGCAGGUAUCCAUGUCCAUGGAUAAAAUUGCGGGCCCUGCCGCCACACAUUGAGGCGACCAACAUCGUAUAACAUGUUUCCGUGUUGGGACGUAACGGGGUCGGACAGGUGAGCCCUGCCGCCACGGUACAAGGCAGCCUGUACUGCUGCUGUCGCCCGGUUGCCGACACGACAUAUGCAUGCCCGACGAGGCGGUGGGCCAUGCCACCACUCCAUGAGGCGGCCGCAUUGUUUGUGAUGCUUACCAGCCGACAGCAUCUGUUGUUGCUUCGGGAUUUUUUGUUGAAAAGGACCCUCUCGCCAACACAAUUGACAAAAUGACUACCUACAGAUCAAAUUGACAAAAAAGACCCCCUCAACGGUGGCGGCAGGCGCGGCGAUCGACGCGUGGCUCCUGCUGCCAUGCUCGGAGGCGGCGGGACCGGCCGCCAUGCGUUGAGGCAGCCGACCAUCUAUUACGUAAUUUCCAGCGCGCCGGUGCCGGGACGGAACGGGGCCGGGCAUGUGGGCCCUGCCUCCACUCGACGAGGCGGAUGACACUGCUGUUGCUGCGCGCUAGCCAACAGCACUUGCUGCAUGCGCGACGAGGAGGUGGGCCACGCUACCACUCCUCGAGGCAUCCGUGCUGUUGCUGCUGCUCGCGGCGCGACAACUUCGGUGUGGAAGACGGCGAUGAUUCCCACACGCGGAUGACGCUGAUUUCCACGGGAGGGAAUCCGAUGCUGUGCGGUAGGUGAAUUUUUGACGUCUCGUGCCGACACUCUGUGGUGCUUCUCUGCACUCUCUUUGCUUCCCUGCAUACACUCUCCACUCCACUCCGUCUGGUUCGCAUGCUGCUCGGCGGGAAUCGUUUUUGGCAGUGAUUCCGCUAUGAUGCUGCCCGUUGUUUGAUAAUUGCCACUGCUUUCUAUGCAGACAACACCGAUCAAAAGCAGUGCGUGAUUCCCGCCUAAAGUUGUAUUCAUCGGUUGCUGCGACCGACGCGAGAACACCGAGGCACACUAUGCCGACACUGGUAGCACUGUUUUGAAUCAUGCGUAUUUCCCACCUAAUUUUUUUUGUUCGUGCCUAUUUUCUCGCCAUCAUUUCGUGAGGCCAAGGCAGCAGAAGAAGCUGGCGAUGGAAAAGAAAAAUAUCCACGCUAGACUCAGUAGAUACUUGUGGUAGUAUUUUAAAUUUUGCAACCAUUUGUAUCUUAAUUUCGGUAGUUUAAUGUAGCUUUAUUUCAUUAGUUACAUGUAGCAUUAUUUCUUUUUUUUUUGAGGGGAAAGAUUGCAAUUAUAUUAAAAUAUCAUCACAGUCAUUACAAUCAGAUUGCACCAGCAACGCCAAAACUAGUGGUAGUUGGCCCAUAUGGACAGCCCCCUACCACUGCUCUGGGUUAGUCUGGCUAACUCAUGAGCAACUUUGUUGCCAUCUCUCCCAAUCUUUCGAAAGACAAUGUUUGAACUAUCUUGAAUAAGAUCCCUAAUCACAAUAUGAUGCUCUCUCCAAGCUGCAAGAGGGGUUGCAGGGGACAGAAUGUUCAAAAUAACUGCAGCACAAUCAGAUUCUAUGAUGAUCUUAUCAUUUCCCAAGUCAAGAGCAGCCUUCAGCCCAGUGACACACGCACAAACUUCAGCCUCUUCAGCACUUGCACAGGGAUGGAGUUUUACGCCCUCUGCUCUAACAAGUCUGCCCAUGAAGUCUCUUAUAAUGUACCCAGCACUAGAUUCACCCGAAAUGGCCACAAACACAACAUCUGUGUUUACUUUCAGCCAUCCCACAGGAGGUCUAGUCCAACUAGACAUACCAGCAUGGCUUGGACCAGGUUUGGUCAACACCGACCUAUGACACUUCUGCGGAGAAGGCGCAACAACCGGCUUCUUUCCUUUAUCAUCAGUAGCGAGGCAUUCACCCCAAAAAGAAACAGAAAAGUUUUGCAGGAAUCUAACCGAGUCUAAAAUGGAGAUCUUCCCUUGGUUGUGGACCACAUCAUUUCGGAGGAACCAAGCACGCCAGAACACAAGAAGCACCAAAUCACGCUGCCUUGGUUUGAUUUUUGCAAGGAGGAUUAGAAGCCAGUCAGGCCCAUUGUAAAUAAAAACCCUUUCCCCAGGAAGAUCCCACACCCCUCGCAACUGAUCUCUUAAGGCAUGGGCUUUGGUACAUUCCACCACAGCAUGAAAACUGUUCUCGUCUGCCAUACCACAAAUAUUGCACGUACUAUCAAUCUCCAGAUUCCUUUUGCAUUUAUUCUGCUUUGUAGCAAGAUUAUCACAGGCCAACCUCCAACCAAAGGACCGGACCUUGUUUGGGAUAUCAGCAUUCCACACCAACUUUCACAUAUUCCUGUCCCCCUUUGGAGCAGCGCUACUUCCGGUUAGGUUGUUAUUAUAGUGCUUCAAAUUAUAUGCAAGCUUGUACGCACUACGGACAGAGAAAUGCCCGGACGUUUCAUAGUGCCAUGCUGGAGUAUCCUCCAUCUCAUGUAUCGGAAUCUUUAUCUUUAAGAUCACCUCCACAUCAUUUGGCUAAAACACCUGUCUCACCAACUCCUCAUUCCAUUCCUUUCUCUCAGGUAAGAAGAGAUCACACACUCUGUGAAUCCUAGACCGUUUCCUACUGCCAAGAAUUUUUAGGGACGGUUCUGUAGGAAUCCAAUUGUCCCUCCAAAUACGGAUACAAUUACCAUUCCCAAUCCUCCAGAUUACUCCUUUCCUCAAAAGCUCCAAAGCAAAUUCGAUUCCCCUCCACGCUUGAGAUGCUUCACCAGAAAACACUGUAUCAAGGACAUUGCCGUUAGGGUAGUACCUUGCUUUGAAGAGUCGAGCACAUAAACUCUCUGGCGACUGGAUUAAUCUCCAAGCCUGUCGCGCUAAGAGAGCCUGGUUGAAACAAACAGUGUCGCGGAAACUGAUUCCUCCCUGAGAUUUUGGUUUGAUCAAGCAUUCCCAAGAGGCCCAAUGAACCCUCCUCUGUCCUUGCUCCUCCCCCCAGAAGAAACGCCUCAUAAGUUUCAUAUAAUCAUCAUGGAAACUCAUCGGCAUCUUAAACACACUCAUCGUGUAAGUGGGAAGCGCUUGAGCAACGGAUUUGAUGAGAACCUCUUUUGCAGCCAUGGCCAUAUAUCUUUCAUUCCAGUCAGAUAGCCUUUUGUUGAACCUGUCGUUGAUAGGCUGAAACUUCUCAGCCUUCAUACGCCCUUCCGGUGUGGGUAGCCCCAGGUAUUUCUCCUCGAAAGUACAAUUUUGGACACUUAGAACCUCCUUCACUUCUUCCAUCCUAGAAGCUGGGCACUCAGAAUUGAACAGGAGGGAACAUUUCUCAUGGCUAACCAGUUGGCCAGUGCUCCUAACAAACACCUGAAUCGCCUUAUUUACCACUGAAGCUUGCUGACCAUUAGCUUCAAAAAACAGGGUAAUAUCAUCAGCAAAAAGUAAGUGAGAUAUCCCAGGGGCAGAACGAGCAAUCUUUAGCUCUCUUAGUUCGCCCUUGUUUACCACAUUCUUUAGUAAUCUGGACAGACCAUCAACGACAAAGAGGAACAUGUAGGGAGAAAGAGGAUUGCCCUGGCGUAAACCUCUAGAAGGGAAGAACUCCUCAGAAAGCUCCCCAUUCACACUUAUGGCAUAUCGGACAGAAGUAACACACGCCAUGACCCAACUCACCCAUCUAGGGUUGAACCCCAACUUAGUGAGCACACCCUUUAAUUACUUCCAGUCCACACGGUCAUAAGCUUUUGAGAGGUCCAUCUUGAAAGCGCAGAACGAGUCACUUGAGUUCCUCCCCUUUUGGAUGGCAUGGAAGCAUUCAAACGCGAUAAGAGUGUUGUCACUAAUGAGCCUUCCUGGGAUGAAAGCGCUUUGCUCAAUGCCAAUAAGGUCGUCCAGGAGCGGUCUCAAGCGGUUCACUAAGCACUUCGACACCACUUUGUAAAUAACAUUGCAUAAAGAGAUUGGCCGAAAAUCUUUUAACUCCACCGCUUGGUUAGUCUUGGGGAUGAGAACAAUAGUAGUAGUAUUCAACUCACUCGGCAUGACACCAUCCGUAAAGAAUUGCUUUAUAGCUCCGACCACCUCUUCUUUUAGAACAUCCCAGUUUUGCUGGUAAAAACGCGAGGGGAAACCGUCCGGCCCCGGGGAUUUUAGCGGCCCAAUCUGAAAUAGGGCGUCGCUGAUCUCUUUCACAGUAAACUCUUCCAUUAAUUUUUCAUUCAUCUCAUUUGUAACCAAGGUCUCAAAAUGAUUCAGCAAGCCCGCAGGCUUCACAUUUGAGUCUUCUGUAAACAGAUCACAGAAAAACCCCUUUGCAAUCGCUUUGAUUUCUUCUUCAUUGUUUGUGAACUGCCCAUUAGCCUUCCAAAGUUUUUUGAUCCUGUUCUUUCUGGCACGUCAAGAGGCCCUUCGCUAAAAAUAUUUGGUGUUUUGGUCGCCCUCACGAAGCCACGUAACUCUACUCCUUUGAAGGUAAAGAAGCUCUUCCCGCAAUAACAAUUCAUCCAUUUUUGCUGAUAAGAUCUUUAUUUCCUGCUCAUGUGUGUUAUAGUCCUUCAACAGAUCCGCUAGUUUCCCUCUACAUUUGGCUAUUUCUUUUGUAAUAGAACCAAUAGAUUGGUUGCUCCAGGCUUUAAGAACUUCCAUGAUACAGUCCACCUUCUCAGUUAGGUGCUUGAGGUCUCGGACAGGGGCAUGAUGGUUCCAGGCAUUCUCAAUUAUCCCAGCCAAGGCCUCCUCUCUUUCCCACAUCACUUCGUAGCGACCUUUUUUCCUUUUCCUUGUCUUAAAUUGCAACUUCUCUAGGCAGAGUAAAAGAGGACAGUGGUCAGAUCUCGGCGACACAAGAUGUUUGACGCACGCAUCAGAGAAAAUGUCCUGCCAUUCAGGCGAAGCAACAGCUCUAUCCAACCGCACUCGAACAUUUUUAUCCCCUAAUUGAUUGUUAUUAUACGUCCAGCCCACUCCUUUAAACCCAAGGUCAUGCAGAUUACAUUCAGAUAAAACUUCCCUGAAAGCUUUCAUUAGGGGUUCACUCCUUUUUCUAGAGAUAUGUUCGCUUUGCCACAUGGCCUCGUUAAAAUCGCCGAUCAUGAGCCAAGGUUCACUAGCGUUUGAUUUGAUGCGUCUUAACAGAUCCCACAUACAAUGCCGGUCCUGGGACCUGGGCUCACCAUAAACAAAGGUUCCUCUCCAUUUUAUUUCACCAGAAACAGAAACUUUUACAUCGACAUGAUGGAUUCCGAAGUUUAUUAACUCGACAUCUACGGAAUCAUCCCAGAAGAGGGCUAGGCCUCCCCCUUCCCUUUCACAGAGACAAUGAUACUGUGCCUGAAGCCAAUUCUACGCCCCACCCCCUCCACAAAAUACUUGCCUUGCCUAGUUUCAGAGAGGAACACAAUCUCCGGGCAGUGAACACACACAAGGCGUGUCAGCUCCUGAACUGUCCGGGGCCGCCCCAGUCCCCGGCAGUUCCAGGCCAAGAUUUUCAUGGCUCUUGACGGGCGCUAUUACUCGCGCCCGUCAGUUUACUGGCAGCCCCUAGGCCGGCAGCUUCCCGACCACCCUUCUCAACCUUAUAAUGCUCUACCUCUACAGAACCCACAUCUCUAGGCUUUUUGUUACUUGUGAUUACAUCAUCGCUAUUGCUCUCAGGUUCUACAGAUAGAGGAUCCUUGACUCUGUCCAGCCGCUUGCCGAGAACAGAAGCGGCGCCUCCUCCUUUACCAGAAUGCAUGUCCCCCUUAUGGCCUCUCUUUCUCAGAUAUACUAUGUUCUUGACCGUGUUUGGAUGGUCCAUCUCUUUAACGACCCCCUGCAGAUUAACAAGAUCCUCAACAACACGUUGGGCAUCGUCAACGGAGCCUCCACCAGCACUAGUCUUUGGAGGGAGCUCCGGGACCAGCCCCACCGGUAAAGUUAUUUCUUCAGGCUCAGGCGUCUUCUUGUCUUUUGCUCAUUUCCAUGCAUUUGGACCAACACAUUGGUCUGCAUUUGCACCUUGUCUCCCUCCUUCUUUGUGUUGCCGGGGUUAGGUGCAGAAACCAAGGCAGCAUCAGCGGUGCGAGAAGCAUCCACCAUGUUGUUCAGCAGACCCACAACAGCCGAGGCGCCAACUGGAUCACUGGGAGAUCCAUCCCCCACAUCAAUGUUGUUGUCUGAACCCUUCCGGGGGGCAUCGGUUUCCAUUAGCUCACCCACUGAAAGGUGAGCAACAUCUUCACUCACUUUCUCAACCGUAUUCAACACCACAUCCACACUUGGAGUGUUGAUUUGAGAGUUGCAGUUUGGCUUUGGGGCACGCCAAGGAGAGGUAGCAGCCUGCGAGGGCUUUGGUUUCCCCAUCUUAUCGGCAAGGAACCAGGAACGGGGGUCAUCAAAGUGCACUGGACGCACACUGAUGUCCUUGGAAUACCUCAGUUUUUUCUCAUCAUUAGGAAGAUCACAACUGGCUUCCAUAUGCCCUAAGAAGCCGCAGAAUAAACAGAAGUUUGGAAGUCUUUCAUAGCGCAGGAAAACAAUCACCUCUUCUCCAGUUAUCUCGUCGGCCAGGGUGAUCUCCUUUGGCAGAGCAGAGUACAAGGUGAGCAACACUCUCGCACGCAGAAAUUUGUCGCAGAUGUUGCCCCUCGCGUGCUGAUUAACCAGCAGCAUCUUCCCAACCUGUUCUCCUAGAUUUCGGGCAAGUUCCUUUGUAAGGAGGUAAAAAGGAAUACCCCGGAACUGAACCCAAAUAGGAACAUGAGAGAACACAACCGAAGCAGGGUCAGCCCCAGAUUCCAAGCCUACAACCAAGAACGGGUCUCCCUUGUACUGCCAUGGGCCACCCCUAAUGACAUGUUGUCGAUCACCAUCUUCUGAGAAUUCUAGGACGAAUUUACAUCCUUCCUUUGCCGAUAUCUGAUGAUCGCCCAAUGCCCCACGGAUCUUCCAGACCCCUUUCAUAUGGUCAAUCAACUGACGGGGGUUCACCAUCAGCACAGACAAGAAGAGACCAACAGCCAGAAAAACGCGUCUGAACCGCUUCGCGAGCCCCCGAUAUGUUAAUGAUCAGGGUUUUCUUCACUGGAUCCGCAGUAGAGAGGGCAAGCUCCUUACCCGGCCGGCGAAUGGCUUCGCCGUUGUCUUGAGCGGCUGAGCUCCCAGCGGCCAACAGGGACCCUGACGCAUCCCUCAUGGACUUGGACACCAUCCUUGGAGACACCAGGGAAGUCAUCUUCAGAUGGGCUUUAGAUGUCGCCAUCAGGCAAUCGGUCGAACACCUGUAGUGCGUGGAGCAAAGGCUGGUGUGGCUUCCCAAGGAGAAUGAUGGAAAGCGCAGCACCAGCAGCCUCCUAAAUAGCAGAUCUUCCAUGGGCUUGUAAAUGCCCUCAUUAUUCUCCAAAUAACUCCCAGAAGAUGGAAACGAAAGUUUCUCCUCAAACUGAAACGUAACCCAUAUACGCUCCAGUUCAUCAUGGACUUUUAAUUCAGAAAACGGAAGGGCCUCUGAAGGUGGAUCACGACCUGGAUUAGGUGGCUCCUUGUCUCCUUCCUCAGGGGAAGGCAAUAGUUUGCCACUCACGAUCUUCACUCGAAACCUCAGGAACAGGAGGCGGAGCUUUAGUUUCUGGAUCUCCCGCAGAGAUUUCCUAAAACGACUCUGGAGGGUGGGUGAAAGGGUGUGCUCUGGUUGGGGAAGGUUGCAUAGAGGGGUCUCGAGGUUGGUUUUCGUAGGUUUCUGGGUUACAGGGACAAGCCAUCGACGAUUUCCAUAGGAGGGUAGGAAAUCGCCAAUGGAGUCGCCUUUGGCGGGUUUCGGGAGGGGAACGGGCUGUCGCAUGAUUUUUCUCUACACGGUCCUACAUGUAGCAUUAUUUCAAUAGUACAAUGUAUCUUAUUUUCAGUUGUACCGUGUCCAAAUGUCUUAUUUACCUUCUUUCCUUCUUUCUUUCUCUCCCCACUCGAAAACACUUUAACAAUACAAACUAAUUAUCAAACAUGGUGCAACGACUACAACAUCAAAUUAAGAUCAAACAUAAUGCCCGUACAAUAAGACAGUACAAACUAAUAAUGCAAUUACAUCUGAAUUAAAUGGUAGAGCUGAACUUAAAAACUAAAAAUACAGCUUAAAAACUACAUGAAGACAUCAUCGUCAUCCUCUGUCGAUGCAGAACUCUUGCCCUUCGACGAUGCAGAACUCUUGGCCUUGGUACUCGGCGUGAAGAUAUGUCUUCAUCAUCACUGUCUGCGUUCCAUCAAAAAAUAUUUUCUGCUGCAAACUUUAGGUAUGAUUCACCCUUACUCUGUUGCUUCAUCCAUCUUCCAUGCAAUCUGAGAAAUUCUUUCUGUAUCUCCUCAAAAUUCCUGGAAGGCUACCCGCACCUACUUAAUGCGUGAGCCAGCUCAUUCAGUAGGGUGUCAGUAUUGAUGAGUUUGUCCCAUGGAACAAAUAUGUUGUCUACCUUGAAAUCGGCGACUAAAUCCAGAAGACAUUGAGACAUAUGAGGGUGAAAACUACGAUCAAAAGAAUAUCUGGACAUUUUGGCAAGACUACGAGACUACACUAGAAUGCUUAUCCAAGUUAGUGCCGAGGGUGUUUUAUAGGUUGAGAAUACAAACAGAGGCGGGAACUCGGAGGUGGGAAAAUAUGGCAGGAACUAGAUAGCGGGAAACUAUGGCGGGAACUAAGAAAGCGGGAAAAUAUGGCGGGAGAUAUAGGCGGGAAACUAUGGUGGGAGAUAUAGGCGGGAAACGGCGGCGUGAGAUAAACGCGGGAACUCAGAAGCGAGAAACUAUGGCAGGAGAUAUACGCGGGAAACAUUGUUGUCGCCUGGUCCAGUAGCGGUAGGUCCUCAUACAUAGAUGUUUCUUACAUACAUCGGAAAGUCUAAAACUGACAUAGGUAGAUACAAUAGGUUGCACACGUAGAUAGAUGAAUCACCCUAGUCGAUGAUGGCCACCUGGCCUUUCCCGAGGACCAGAAAGCGUCAAGCGAUUAGGUGGUCGAGUUACAUGAAGACCGCAACCAUACUCCCCAUUGGCUUCCUAUGUCUGCGACUCCUGCGUAGGUGCUGGAGUCUGGAAUCCUUGUUGCGAUCCUAAUGCGUAAUUGUAGGCGUAUGGUUGUGACUCCUCAUGGAUAAAAGAUGGGCCAAUAACAUCCCCUCCGAAGAAGUCUGUAACUAAUGCUACAACCGUGUCGCCAUGAUCAUGUGAUGCUCCCCGGAUGCGUGUGUUGAGGCCACGUUGGGUGUCCUCAUCGUCCCAUGUACGAUCAUGUAUGUCCUACAUAGAGAAACAUUGUAAAUAAAUUGUUUGAGGAUAAUAUAUGAUAUCAUUGUAAAUGCAUUAAAAA